rnacentral:rRNA from 1 species
AGAGUUUGAUCCUGGCUCAGGACGAACGCUAGCGGCGUGCCUAAGGUAUGCAAGUCGAACGGAUCAGAGAGCUUGCUCUCUGGUGAGUGGCGAACGGUCGAGUAACACGUAGACAACCUGCCCUGCAGCGGGGGAUAACCGGGGGAAACCGCGGCUAAUACCGCAUGUGGUGGCACUGGGAAGCCGGUGCUGACCAAAGGAAGGGGUAACCCUUUCGCUGAAAGAUGGGUCUGCGGCCUAUCAGGUAGUUGGUGGGGUAACGGCCUACCAAGCCGACGACGGGUAGCUGGUCUGAGAGGAUGAUCAGCCGGACGGGGACUGAGACACGGCCCCGACUCCUUCGGGAGGCAGCAAUGAGGGAUAUUGCACAAUGGGCGAAAGCCUGAUGCAGCGACGCCGCGUGGGUGAGGAAGUCCUUCGGGAUGUAAAGCCCUUUUGUCGAGGACGAGCCGGCAGGAGACAUUCUGCCCCGACGGUACUCGGCGAAUAAGCCCCGGCUAACUACGUGCCAGCAGCCGCGGUAAUACGUAGGGGGCAAGCGUUGUCCGGAUUUACUGGGCGUAAAGCGCGUGUAGGCGGAGCGUUAAGUCUGGCCUGAAACCCCCGGCUCAACCGGGGAAGGUGGCUGGAACUGGCGUUCUUGAGGACGACAGAGGAGUGUGGAAUUCCUGGUGUAGCGGUGAAAUGCGUAGAAAUCAGGAGGAACACCCGUGGCGAAGGCGGCACUCUGGGUCGUGUCUGACGCUGAGAGCGAAAGCGUGGGGAGCGAACGGGAUUAGAUACCCUAGUAGUCC